rnacentral:rRNA from 1 species
GAUGAACGCUGACAGAAUGCUUAACACAUGCAAGUCGAUGGGGAAGUGGUGCUUGCACCAUGGCAACCAUGGCGGACGGGUGAGUAACGCGUAAGGGACUUACCUGCAGGACUGGGAUAACAGGGGGAAACUCCUGACAAGACCGGAUAAUGUCAUGGAGCUGCAUGGCUUUAUGAUGAAAGGAGACGCCUGCGGAGAGCCUUGCGUCCUAUUAGCUAGUUGGUGAGGUAAUGGCUCACCAAGGCGAAGAUAGGUAGCCGGCCUGAGAGGGUGGACGGCCACAAGGGGAAUGAGAUACGGCCCUUACUCCUACGGGAGGAAGCAGGGGGGAAUAUUGGACAAUGGGGGCAACCCUGAUCCAGCAAUUCUGUGUGCACGAAGAAGGUUUUCGGAAUGUAAAGUGCUUUCAGCAGGGAAGAAGUAAGUGACGGUACCUGCAGAAGAAGCGACGGCUAAAUACGUG